CGCCAGCCCAGUGGAAAUCCAUGUGCUGCUUGUUUCUUCAAUUUCUUGUGCCUGAACCAAUGACGAUGACGGUUUCAGGAAAAGAAGAAGAUAGAAAGUCCUUCCAAGCCAUGACUGAGAUUUCUCAGGGACUUUAUUUGCUGGAUCUUCUACCGUCAUCAACUUUUUCUACUUCUUCAUGAAAAAGUAGUUCAUAAAUAAGAAGUGGGGAAGACCAUGCAUUAUACUACAGAGUUACAAAGGUCUUUAUAUAUUGAAGAAAAGGCAGAUAUAAGCACACUGACAAGUAAGACUUUGGAUGGAGUGGUGAGACCAGGAGCACCACGGGCUACUUCUCGAGAAG